AUGCAUAAUCAGUUGUGAUUUGCAAUCUGUGCUUUCCCCACAACAGGCACAUCUAUGGAGCUUUUCCACCACUGAUAUUAUUGAGGAGGUCAAAAAUAUGUGUGAUCCCCUGUUUAGUUUUGCUUUGAUGACAGCUACUGUUUUCUUACUCCCAGUUCAAGGCCUGUAUUACUGUCUGCCUGUGAUGACUCCUUCAGAUGCUUUCCCAGAUCACUCUUCAGAUGUCAGUUCAGAGGAAGAUGAACCAGUCCCGGCCACAUCUGGAGGGGAAUUGAUCAAUAGCUCCAGUCAGUUGUCUGAGAAGGAUUUGGCUGAAGCACAGCUGCAGCAGGAGUCCUGAGGCUUUGCUUGGGGAAAGCAUGCAGCUGCAGCCAGUCAGUGGGGAGGAAGAGGAACUGCCUUUUGCCCCUAAUCAGUGGGAAAUGGAAAAUACUUUGAUUUCUGGCUUGAUUUGCUUUCCUUUUCAAUGUUGCUUAUUAUUCUCAGUCAUCCGGAGUGCUGUUAUAGCCAUCCUCU